AGCGAACGCUGGCGGCAGGCUUAACACAUGCAAGUCGAACGGGCGUAGCAAUACGUCAGUGGCAGACGGGUGAGUAACGCGUGGGAACGUACCUUUUGGUUCGGAACAACCCAGGGAAACUUGGGCUAAUACCGGAUAAGCCCUUAGGGGAAAGAUUUAUCGCCGAAAAGAUCGGCCCGCGUCUGAAUUAGCUAGUUGGUGUGGUAACGGCGCACCAAGGCGACGAUCAGUAGCUGGUCUGAGAGGAUGAUCAGCCACAUUGGGACUGAGACACGGCCCAAACUCCUACGGGAGGCAGCAGUGGGGAAUAUUGGACAAUGGGCGCAAGCCUGAUCCAGCCAUGCCGCGUGAGUGAUG
rnacentral:rRNA from 1 species